GCCUUAUUUAUCAACUCAUCUGUCAGUUUGAAAUAUAUUCUGGCCAUAAUCAAUGUUUAGUAAAACACUGUUUUCAACAAACUGCUGUUGUCUAAAGUGCGCCUCACUACAAGAGCAAAAUAUCAAGACAUUUCCACAUUGAUCCUGCUGUAAUCAAUCCUCAGCCAGAGCAUCACAUAUUAACUUCUCAGAGGGGUUUUAUUUUUAAAUAGGCCAACAUGACAGUGGGCAGACUGACAGGUGGUACGCCUGCAAGCUUGACGCUGAUGGAGAGCCACAGACGAUGGUCAGGCAGGUGACAAGUUCAGUCCUACUGUCAGCACUUAGGAUUUCCCCAUAGGCACACAAAUUCUGACAGCAGCUGCAGAGAGAAGAGAGACGCACACACAAACGUGCACACAUUUUGAUAUACUCUUGUAUGGAAGUGCGAUUUCAUAAAAUUUUUACAUCUUCUUUCAUUUUACCAAUUUCUAGGUUCACCUUCCGGAGGCGACUUGGUGUGUUUACGUACAUCUAUUGCAUUGCUCAUCAGUUUCAACCGUUUAUUGAGGUGUUACCUCAUGCAUUGUGUUUCAUAUCGUUUUGCAAGUCUUUGAGGACUCGUAUCCAAGUCUGCAAGGCAAGUACAAUACUGUAGGCUUACCAGUUUCAUCCUUUCAGCAGACUUAUCACAUGUCCUCACCCUUAACUGAUCCAACCAAACAAGAUUCAGCAGGUGGAUUGGAAACAACAUGAGCCACCCAGGAAAAAUC
ensembl:lncRNA